rnacentral:misc_RNA from 1 species
CACUGGGUCUUACCCGAGCCGUGAGGAACCGGUUGCCUGUAGUGGGCACGGUUUGGUGCACAACAAACGUUGAGCCGCAAGGGAUUUUGCGGUGAUGGGACUGCCAGACACACUAUUGGGCUUUGAGACAACAGGCCCGUGCCCCUUUUUUGGGGGGUGGCAUCCGGUUGCGGGUGUCGGCGUGUUGUUGCCUCACUUUGGUGGUGGGGUGUGGUGUUUGAUUUGUGGAUAGUGGUUGCGAGCAUCUAGCACGCAGUGUGGCUGGGGGCCUUCGGGUUUCCGGUC